rnacentral:rRNA from 1 species
ACUACAGCGUGUCAACAGUAUACUGUACCUGACGGGUCCCAGGUAUACUGGUACGAGAUCUAAAUCCCACGGGAUGAGCGGCAGUGGAUCAUGGAUCGAGAGGCCGCCUAGCGGAGGACUUUGGUCAUCUGAUGUACCUGGGACUACCUGGCUGACUGCAGCAGACGAUCAGAGAUGUGAGUCCUCGGGCUGCUGGGGGGUGCUGCAUGGUGUCGUCAUCUCGUGCUGUGAGGGUCGGAUAUGUGCCAUAACGAGCGCUACCCUUUCAUCAGUUGCCAUCAGUCGAUGCUGGGCACUCUGGUGAUACUUCCACCGUAAGGUGUGAGGAAGGUGGGGAUGACGUCAUAUCAGCACGGACCUUACGUCUGAGGCUACACACUUGUUACAAUGGGUGGUACAGAGAGUAGGGUGUACGCAAGUGCUCUCCAAUCAUGAAAGCCAUCCUCAGUUCGGAUUAAAAUGGGGGAGGAAAACCCCAUGAAGCGGGAUUCGCUAGUAAUCGCGCAUCAGCCAUGGCGCGGUGAAUACGUUCCCGGGCCUUGUACACACCGCCGGUCAAGCCAUGAAAGCCGGGGGCGCCUGAAGUCCGUGACCGCGAGGGUCGGCCUAGGGUGAAACAGGUGAUUGGGGAUAAGUAGUAACAAGGUAGCCGUAUCGGGAGGUCGGC